GCGAGUAAUGUCGGGAACUCCAGGGAGACUGCCGGUGAUAAACCGGAGGAAGGUGGGGACGACGUCAAGUCAUCAUGGCCCUUACGAGUAGGGCUACACACGUGCUACAAUGGCGCAUACAGAGGGCGGCCAACUUGCGAAAGUGAGCGAAUCCCAAAAAGUGCGUCGUAGUCCGGAUUGGAGUCUGCAACUCGACUCCAUGAAGUCGGAAUCGCUAGUAAUCGUGGAUCAGAAUGCCACGGUGAAUACGUUCCCGGGCCUUGUACACACCGCCCGUCACACCAUGGGAGUGGGCUGCAAAAGAAGUAGGUAGUUUAACCUUCGGGGGGACGCUUACCACUUUGUGGUUCAUGACUGGGGUGAAGUCGUAACAAGGUAGCGCUAGGGGAACCUGGCGCUGGAUCACCUCCUUAAACGAUGAU
rnacentral:rRNA from 1 species